AACGAACGCUGGCGGCAGGCUUAACACAUGCAAGUCGAGCGCCCCGCAAGGGGAGCGGCAGACGGGUGAGUAACACGUGGGAACAUACCCUUUACUACGGAACAACUCCGGGAAACUGGAGAUAAUACCGUAUAUGCCCUUCGGGGGAAAGAUUUAUCGGUAAAGGAUUGGCCCGCGUUGGAUUAGCUAGUUGGUGGGGUAAAGGCCUACCAAGGCGACGAUCCAUAGCUGGUCUGAGAGGAUGAUCAGCCACAUUGGGACUGAGACACGGCCCAAACUCCUACGGGAGGCAGCAGUGGGGAAUAGUGGACAAUGGGCGCAAGCCUGAUCCAGCCAUGCCGCGUGAGUGAUGAAGGCCUUAGGGUUGUAAAGCUCUUUCACCGGAGAAGAUAAUGACGGUAUCCGGAGAAGAAGCCCCGGCUAACUUCGUGCCAGCCGCCGCCGUAAGAC
rnacentral:rRNA from 1 species